ACGAACGCUGGCGGCGUGCUUAACACAUGCAAGUCGAACGGAAAGGCCCUGCUUAUGUGGGGUGCUCGAGUGGCGAACGGGUGAGUAACACGUGAGUAACCUGCCCUUGACUUUGGGAUAACUUCAGGAAACUGGGGCUAAUACCGGAUAGGAGCUCCUGCUGCAUGGUGGGGGUUGGAAAGUUUCGGCGGUUGGGGAUGGACUCGCGGCUUAUCAGCUUGUUGGUGGGGUAGUGGCUUACCAAGGCUUUGACGGGUAGCCGGCCUGAGAGGGUGACCGGCCACAUUGGGACUGAGAUACGGCCCAGACUCCUACGGGAGGCAGCAGUGGGGAAUAUUGCACAAUGGGCGGAAGCCUGAUGCAGCAACGCCGCGUGCGGGAUGACGGCCUUCGGGUUGUAAACCGCUUUCGCCUGUGACGAAGCGUGAGUGACGGUAAUGGGUAAAGAAGCACCGGCUAACUACGUG
rnacentral:rRNA from 1 species